AUUUGGUCAUUUUUACAUUGUAGGGCCCAAUUUUUGACCUAGGGCCCAAUUACAAAAACAAAUACCCAAACCCAUUACAAACCCAAAUAAGCAACAAACCCAAUCAGCCCAAAACCUAAAAAACCCUAGCCCAAAACCCAUAACAGAAAAAAAUAAAAAAAUUUCAAACUCUAGGUGCGCCGCACCUAGGGUCUUCUUCUGCCACUGCCGCCCUAGCCUCUGCCAUGCCAGCACCGCCACGGUCACGUCGCC
rnacentral:lncRNA from 1 species